rnacentral:rRNA from 1 species
UACGUAGGGGGCUAGCGUUGUCCGGAAUCAUUGGGCGUAAAGCGCGUGUAGGCGGCCCGAUAAGUCCGCUGUGAAAGUCCAGGGCUCAACCCUGGGAUGCCGGUGGAUACUGUCGGGCUCGAGUCCGGAAGAGGCGAGUGGAAUUCCUGGUGUAGCGGUGAAGUGCGCAGAUAUCAGGAGGAACACCAAUGGCGAAGGCAGCUCGCUGGGACGUGACUGACGCUGAGACGCGAAAGCGUGGGGAGCAAACAGG